AACGUAGGAGGCGAGCGUUAUCCGGAUUUACUGGGCGUAAAGCGCACGCAGGCGGUUGUGCAAGUUGGGCGUGAAAUCUCUCGGCUUAACCGGGAGGGGUCGUCCAAUACUGUGCGACUUGGGUGCAGGAGAGGGAAGCGGAAUUUCCAGUGUAGCGGUAAUAUGCGCAGAUAUUGGAAAGAACACCAGUGGCGAAGGCGGCUUCCUGGUCUGUAACCGACGCUCAAGUGCGAAAGCUAGGGGAG
rnacentral:rRNA from 1 species